CUCCUUUUCGGGGGGAAUGUUCAGUCGAAGGAACCCAUUCUUUUUCCCUCACCUGCGUUUUCUUUUCUCCCCUGUUCUGGCUUCGUUCCACCAAAACCCGACCCAAUCUCCACCCCUCGUAGCCCAGUGCCUCCGUUCAGCAGCAGAGUCGUCGCUGCCCCGUUCCAUUCGAAGUUCCCGCCGCCGGUCGCGAAGACCCGACUCACCCGACGCCUCCUCCCUCUUUCACCAAUGAAAGAUCCAGGCAAGUGGAGCGGUGAUUAAGGUCUUGGGUGCACGGGUUAACUUUAUUUUGCUGUGUAUGUGAAAAUCAAGGUAGAUUUCGAGGUUGGGUGCGAGAAAUUUGGGAACCAAAGCUCGGUUUGGAGUUGGAAUAUGAGCGACUCAAAUUCAAUUCAUUUGCACUAGACUAAGGAAUUCUUUUGGUUACUGGGUAAGGUGCUGUCGCACGCUAUCCAGUGGGUCUUCCUCCCUUCAGUUCUAUUUUGAUUCAGCUUUACCGAUGGUGUGCUUUUUGUAAGUUGCCUGUCGAAUUAAUGGCCACCAUAGGUGUAGAAACUUUGCAAGGAGGCUGUGAUACGUUAUUUUACUUGGUAGAAGGCCAUGCGUAUUGUAAACAUUUGCUUUAUACUAAGUUGUGAAAUACUUCUUUAUAAGUAAAGACCCAUUAUGACUAUUCUUAGAUGCUGUAGAAGAGUGUCAAGAUGCUGUAAAAGAGAUUGGUAGAAAAAUUAAUGGUUUUGUUGAGCUAGGAAAGAAGAAAAACGGUUCAAAAUGUUUCUGCCCUAGAGAAAUAUCGGUGAAAAGUCUUUUGGUUUGUGUCGCCUUGAUUUCUAAUGAUGAAGAUAAGGAAAAGAUCAUCCAUUAGACUGAGUUCAACUUUUAGUUAUAGCAAUAUGGACGCAAAAACGUGUAGGUAAGAGUAGUUUUCUUGAAACAGUAAGCUGUAUUGUAGAAAAUAGCAAGACCGUUGAUGAUUCCAUGAAUUUUCUGUAAUUUUCUAGAUAGAAUUGGACUUUGAAACCUUUAUGGAAGUUGUAGGACACAUCCUUAGGAAUAAUAUAUCAAAAUUUGAAAACAAAUGAACAAGGUUUGGUUAGUGAAACGAUUUUUCUUCUAUAGGUACUAAAUCUGGAAGUUGCUGCAGGAUUUUAGAAAGAAGACAGAAAUUACUGCUCUUAAUACAUUGAGAUAUAGACUUAGGUUUCUUCACGGAAAAUGUUAAUCUAUGUCUCUUCUUUAACAUACUGAAAUUCCGUAACAUUCCAAUAAGGUUAGAUAUACUUUCUGUGUCUGUGAUUGAAACUGCUCAUUUCAGUCCAUAGACUGUUUUGAUCCGAGAAUGUGUAGUAGUUGUUGUGUCGCCUUUAAUGAGAGUUCUUAUAUACCUUGAAGUAUCUAAUAAUGUAUGUUUAGACCUAUUUGUGGUUGUUCACAUACUGAAGUUAUUGGUGUUGCUACAAGGGAAUUGUGAAUGUGUGAAGUUGGCUAAAUAGCCAAUGUGAGACCUUAGGUGUCGGGAUGUGUGGAGAGGGGUGAUGAAGAGUAGCGGUAUUCUUUCCAGGGGUCUAAGAAGGGUUGAAUAGCUUCUCAGGGGACCUCGUGAUACCAGGUUGAGUGCGAGGGGGAUAGGGUGGAGUGUCAUCUCCCCCUGGGUGAUUGUAGACCUCGUGAUACCAGGUUGGGUGCGAGAGGUUUAGGGCGGAGUGUCGUCUCUCCCUGGGUGAUUGUUGUAGCUGUGGAUUCAGCAAAUUGACAGUUUGCUUACCUAUUUGUCAUGCUAUUGGCCAAAUCCAAGUUAGGACUGACCGUCCACUUGUUGAGUUUUUAUUUUAAAAACUCACACUUGUUUAUUGUGUUUUUUUUUUUUCUUCAGAGUAGGAGGUGGCCGAGGAGCGCUCGAUGUGUGGGAAAAUUUUGUUUUUGGUUGUCUGACAGCAUGUACAUACUCGACAGGAGGCGGGAUGUUUGGUGUUUGUGGUCCUUAAUGUUUUUUUGUAGAAAUCCUCAUCUUAACCUCAUCUCCCUAUGUGUAAAGAAACAAAGUUUUAUGAUAAGUAGAGUCGAGUGCAGUUUAGUUUCUUAUGAUUCA
rnacentral:lncRNA from 1 species